rnacentral:rRNA from 1 species
UCCUACGGGAGGCAGCAGUAGGGAAUAUUGGGCAAUGGAGGCAACUCUGACCCAGCCAUGCCGCGUGAAGGAAUAAGGCCCUAUGGGUCGUAAACUUCUUUUACCGCAGAGUAAACCCGGGGACGCGUCCCCGGUUGAGAGUAUGCGGGGAAUAAGUAUCGGCUAACUCCGUGCCAGCAGCCGCGGUAAUACGGGGGAUACGAGCGUUAUCCGGAUUUAUUGGGUUUAAAGGGUGCGCAGGCGGACCGUUAAGUCAGGGGUGAAAAGUCCGUGCUCAACAUGGACCGUGCCUUUGAUACUGGCGGACUGGAGUGUGAUAGACGUGGCCGGAAUGUGGUGUGUAGCGGUGAAAUGCUUAGAUAUGCCACAGAACACCGAUCGAGAAGUCAGGUCGCGAGUUCACAACUGACGCUCAUGCACGAAAGCGUGGGGAUCAAACAGGAUUAGAUACCCUGGUAGUCC